UUCUAUAACUACUGGUCUGCAACUGUUCUGAUGGUAGCAAUUGGGGCAUUCCUCUAUAGGAAAGAAAUGGGUACCAGAUUAAAUACCUCUUUCUUAGCAAAACAGAAAGUGGACUUAUCUGUAACAACCAAAG